rnacentral:rRNA from 1 species
UACAGAGGUCCCGAGCGUUGUUCGGAUUCACUGGGCGUAAAGGGUGCGUAGGUGGUGAGGUAAGUCGGAUGUGAAAUCUCCGGGCUUAACCCGGAAACUGCAUUGGAAACUACCUUGCUGGAGGGUUUGAGGGGGGACUGGAAUUCUCGGUGUAGCAGUGAAAUGCGUAGAUAUCGAGAGGAACACCAGUGGCGAAGGCGAGUCCCUGGACAACACCUGACACUGAGGCACGAAAGCUAGGGGAGCAAACAGG